rnacentral:rRNA from 1 species
UACGUAGGGGGCAAGCGUUGUCCGGAUUUAUUGGGCGUAAAGAGCGUGUAGGCGGCCACACAGGUCAGCUGUGAAAAACUCGAGGCUCAACCUCGAGACGUCGGUUGAAACCGUAUGGCUAGAGUCCGGAAGAGGAGAGUGGAAUUCCUGGUGUAGCGGUGAAAUGCGCAGAUAUCAGGAGGAACACCGGUGGCGAAGGCGGGUCUCUGGGCCGAUACUGACGCUGAGGAGCGAAAGCAUGGGGAGCGAACAGG